AAGACUAUACUUUCGGGGCUCAUUUCUAUAGUCCAUUACUAGAGACGUUUCUCUGACUGUGUAGAGUCCUAGAAACAGUGAGGAGGAGGCGUAGUGUCCUCUCCUGAGCAUGCAGCAGGUUCUUGGUGUUGCUUUCCUGCAACUGCCACUUGCCAUUGAUGAUGGCUCCUGCCCUCCUUUGGGGGAGCUGGAGGGAGAGGAUGCAGUCUGGAGGU
ensembl:snoRNA U3 Small nucleolar RNA U3